UCCCCGAUAGCUCAGUUGGUAGAGCAGGUGGCUGUUAACCACCCUGUCGCAAGUUCGAGUCUUGCUCGGGGAGCCA
rnacentral:tRNA from 1 species